AGGGUAAUGAUUAAUAGGGAUAGUUGGGGGCAUUAAUAUUUAAUUGUCAGAGGUGAAAUUCUUGGAUUUAUGAAAGAUUAACUUCUGCGAAAGCAUCUGCCAAGGAUGUUUUCAUUAAUCAAGAACGAAAGUUAGGGGAUCGAAGACGAUCAGAUACCGUCGUAGUCUUAACCAUAAACGAUGCCGACCAGCGAUUAGGAGACGUUGAAUACAAAACACCUCUAUMURUAAUUCAGUAUAUGAUCAGUCAAAUGGUUGUAUAUUGAUUGUAUAUAGGUUCGGUGAAUGACUCCGCUAGCAGAUUGUGAGACCCUAGCAGCUUGUGAGA
rnacentral:rRNA from 1 species